GUGCAGGUCUAAGUCCUGGUGAAGAUGGAAGGUUGAAACAAAGGAAACGACAUCACCUGCAGGUGAUUCCAAUGGCUGAGCCUAAAGGGACUAGAGGAGGAUGUCUCAAGGCAUCAAUCUAAUCUUGGCUCUGGAAUCGUAACUUCGUGGUCUGAAGGUCCAGUUGGAGAGCAGCCUGAAUAAGUGAGGGUGGUGGACGUCCAGUCAUCUGUAUUCCUGGCUGCACCAAUGUUACAUUUGUUGAACUCGCAUGUAUAUGUAAAGUUGACUGUUACCAAAUAAAAUUUAAACACAAACUCAA